GCCUCCUGGGAGCCUGGACAUGGCCCACGGGGACAUUGCUAGCUGUGGGCAGAGGGCUGUCCUGCGGCAAGGCAGCUGGUGCAUGCACAAGUCCACUAGCGCAUCGUGUCUGUGGAUACCCAGGUAAGGGAGAGGGGCCUCUGAAAAUGUGCUGUAGAGACAUGAAACCUGCAGGGGGAGGGGAUUUUUUAAAAUCCUUUUCCUUUUUGUCACUUCCAGAGAUUUUCUUGAAUGAAUGAUGGGGCGAUAUGGAACAUCAUUCAUGUAUCACUUCAGUAUAUAUUUAGUAGCCCCCUGCUGUGGGCCAGGCACCAUGCCACAAUGCGCAUAUGGGGUGAGCAAGAAGAGGUGCCCCCUGCCCUGAUCCUGCAGUCAAGCUGCUGAGUGACAUGGAAUAUACAUGAAGUAUCACCAAGAAGAACAGGAGAGGAGGAAAAGGGAAAAACUGCACCCAGCAAACCUGCAGCCUUGUGCUUUUAAAAGUACGUCAUUAUCCUUGAUCAUCACCAUCAGUCAUUAUUAUCAAUUACUUUUAU
rnacentral:lncRNA from 1 species